GACGAACGCUGGCGGCGUGCCUAACACAUGCAAGUCGAGCGAUGAAAUCCCUUCGGGGAUGGAUUAGCGGCGGACGGGUGAGUAACACGUGGGCAACCUACCUCAAAGUGGGGGAUAGCCUCCCGAAAGGGAGAUUAAUACCGCAUAACAUUAGUUUUUCACAUGAAGGACUAAUUAAAGGAGUAAUCCGUUUUGAGAUGGGCCCGCGGCGCAUUCGCUAGUUGGUGAGGUAAUGGCUCACCAAGGCGACGAUGCGUAGCCGACGUGAGAGGGUGGUCGGCCAAAUUGCAACUGAGACACGGUCCAGCCUCCUACGGGAGGCAGCAGUGGGGAAUAUUGCACAAUGGGGGAAACCCUGAUGCAGCAACGCCGCGUGAGUGAUGAAGGUCUUCGGAUUGUAAAGCUAUGUCUUUUGGGACGAUAAUGACGGUACCAAAGGAGGAAGCCACGGCUAACUACGUGCCAGCCGCCGCAGUAAGAC
rnacentral:rRNA from 1 species